GGCGUAAGCGCGCGCAGGCGGUCUUUUAAGUCUGAUGUGAAAGCCCCCGGCUUAACCGGGGAGGGUCAUUGGAAACUGGAAGACUGGAGUGCAGAAGAGGAGAGUGGAAUUCCACGUGUAGCGGUGAAAUGCGUAGAUAUGUGGAGGAACACCAGUGGCGAAGGCGACUCUCUGGUCUGUAACUGACGCUGAGGCGCGAAAGCGUGGGGAGCAAACAGGAUUAGAUACCC
rnacentral:rRNA from 1 species